GAUAUGGCUCAGGAUGAACGCUAGCGGCAGGCCUAACACAUGCAAGUCGAGGGGCAUCGGGAUUGAAGCUUGCUUCAAUUGCCGGCGACCGGCGCACGGGUGCGUAACGCGUAUGUAACCUACCUAUAACAGGGGCAUAACACUGAGAAAUUGGUACUAAUUCCCCAUAAUAUUCGGAGAGGCAUCUCUCCGGGUUGAAAACUCCGGUGGUUAUAGAUGGACAUGCGUUGUAUUAGCUAGUUGG
rnacentral:rRNA from 1 species